rnacentral:siRNA from 1 species
GGCUACAUUGGUGGUUCGGUA